GAAUGUGAGGGUGAUCUGGCUGCAACAUCUGCCUCCCCACUGAUCACCAGGGUUGAUUCAGCUGAUCUGAAUGGCUAGGGGGGUGUCUCCUUCCUCCCUCACCGCUCCACAUGCAUCCCUCCCGAAGCUUCAUGAUAGAGGAGCUUCCCCAGUAGAAGAGGGCCAUUCUUCCAUCAAGGUAUAGGGGUAGCUGCACUCCCCUGUAAGAACCUCCAAACAAGCUCUCAAAGUAUAUAGUUUAUCUGUAGUAUUACAAUUUCAUGGGUGCUGGGGUAUAGCUCAGGGGUUGAGGAUGUGCUUAGCAUUUGUGA
rnacentral:snRNA from 1 species